AACGAACGCUGGCGGCAUGCCUAACACAUGCAAGUCGAACGAGACCUUCGGGUCUAGUGGCGCACUGGUGCGUAACGCGUGGGAACCUGCCCUUAGGUUCGGAAUAACUCCCCGAAAGGGGUUCUAAUACCGGAUAAUGUCUUCGGACCAAAGAUUUAUCGCCUUUGGAUGGGCCCGCGUUGGAUUAGCUAGUUGGUAGGGUAAAAGCCUACCAAGGCGACGAUCCAUAGCUGGUCUGAGAGGAUGAUCAGCCACACUGGGACUGAGACACGGCCCAGACUCCUACGGGAGGCAGCAGUGGGGAAUAUUGGACAAUGGGCGAAAGCCUGAUCCAGCAAUGCCGCGUGAGUGAUGAAGGCCUUAGGGUUGUAAAGCUCUUUUACCCGGGAUGAUAAUGACAGUACCGGGAGAAUAAGCUCCGGCUAACUCCGUG
rnacentral:rRNA from 1 species